GAUGAACGCUGGCGGCGUGCCUAAUACAUGCAAGUCGAGCGAACAGACGAGGAGCUUGCUCCUCUGACGUUAGCGGCGGACGGGUGAGUAACACGUGGAUAACCUACCUAUAAGACUGGGAUAACUUCGGGAAACCGGAGCUAAUACCGGAUAAUAUAUUGAACCGCAUGGUUCAAUAGUGAAAGACGGUUUUGCUGUCACUUAUAGAUGGAUCCGCGCCGCAUUAGCUAGUUGGUAAGGUAACGGCUUACCAAGGCAACGAUGCGUAGCCGACCUUAGAGGGUGGUGGGCAACAGUGGAAAGGAACCCGGGCCCAGACUCCGGGGGGGGGCACAAGGGGGGAACCUCCGGGAAGGGGCAAAGGUUGGACGGACCAACGGCGGGGGAGGAAAAAGGGUUUGGGAACCAAAAACCUUUUUUAUGGGGAAAAAAAAAAGGUUAAAGAAACAAUGCACUUCUGAAGGUGACUUAAUAGAAAGCCCCCGACAACCUCGGGC
rnacentral:rRNA from 1 species